AAGGGCUGGAGAGAUGGCUCAGAGGUA
rnacentral:piRNA from 1 species